GAUUUGGAAAAUUCCGCUAAAGAGGGUGAAAGCCCCGUAGACGAAAUGCUAACAACACCUAGGAGGAUCCUGAGUACGGCGGAACACGAGAAAUUCCGUCGGAAUCCGCGGGGACCAUCCCGCAAGGCUAAAUACUCCCUAGUGACCGAUAGUGAACCAGUACCGUGAGGGAAAGGUGAAAAGCACCCCGGAAGGGGAGUGAAAUAGAUCCUGAAACCGUGUGCCUACAACAAGUCAAAGCUCGUUAAUGAGUGAUGGCGUGCCUUUUGUAGAAUGAACCGGCGAGUUACGAUUGCAUGCGAGGUUAAGUCGAAGAGACGGAGCCGCAGCGAAAGCGAGUCUGAAUAGGGCGAAUGAGUAUGUAGUCGUAGACCCGAAACCAUGUGAUCUACCCAUGUCCAGGUUGAAGGUGCGGUAAAACGCACUGGAGGACCGAACCCACGUACGUUGAAAAGUGCGGGGAUGAGGUGUGGGUAGCGGAGAAAUUCCAAACGAACUUGGAGAUAGCUGGUUCUCUCCGAAAUAGCUUUAGGGCUAGCCUCGGAAUUGAGAAUGAUGGAGGUAGAGCACUGUUUGGACUAGGGGCCCAUCUCGGGUUACCGAAUUCAGAUAAACUCCGAAUGCCAUUCAUUUAUAUCCGGGAGUCAGACUGCGAGUGAUAAGAUCCGUAGUCGAAAGGGAAACAGCCCAGACCACCAGCUAAGGUCCCAAAAUAUAUGUUAAGUGGAAAAGGAUGUGGGGUUGCACAGACAACUAGGAUGUUGGCUUAGAAGCAGCCACCAUUUAAAGAGUGCGUAAUAGCU
rnacentral:rRNA from 1 species